rnacentral:rRNA from 1 species
GAUGAACGCUGGCGGCGUGCCUAAUACAUGCAAGUCGAACGCACAGCGAAAGGUGCUUGCACCUUUCAAAGUGAGUGGCGAACGGGUGAGUAACACGUGGAUAACCUACCUCAAGGUUGGGGAUAACAUUUGGAAACAGAUGCUAAUACCGAAUAAAACUUAGUAUCGCAUGAUACCAGGUUAAAAGGCGCUACGGCGUCACCUAGAGAUGGAUCCGCGGUGCAUUAGUUAGUUGUGGGGUAAAGGCUUACCAAGACAAUGAUGCAUAGCCGAGUUGAGAGACUGAUCGGCCACAUUGGGACUGAGACACGGCCCAAACUCCUACGGGAGGCUGCAGUAGGGAAUCUUCCACAAU